rnacentral:rRNA from 1 species
UUUGCGGUGGCUAUAUCGGUGGGGUCACACCCGUUCCCAUCCCGAACACGGUAGUUAAGCCCACCAGAGCCGAUGGUACUGCACCGGAAGCGGUGUGGGAGAGUAGGUCGCUGCCGCAUC